rnacentral:rRNA from 1 species
GAUUGGUANUGGACGCAGUCUGAACCAGCCAUGCCGCGUGGAGGAUGAAGGCCCUCUGGGUUGUAAACUCCUUUUAUUUGGGAAGAAACCCAUUUUUUCUAAAGUGGUUGACGGUACCAGAUGAAUAAGCACCGGCUAACUCCGUGCCAGCAGCCGCGGUAAUACGGAGGGUGCAAGCGUUAUCCGGAUUCACUGGGUUUAAAGGGUGCGUAGGUGGGCAGGUAAGUCAGUGGUGAAAUCUCCGGGCUUAACCCGGAAACUGCCGUUGAUACUAUCUGUCUUGAAUAUCGUGGAGGUGAGCGGAAUAUGUCAUGUAGCGGUGAAAUGCUUAGAUAUGACAUAGAACACCAAUUGCGAAGGCAGCUCGCUACACGGUUAUUGACGCUGAGGCACGAAAGCGUGGGGAUCAAACAGGAUUAGAUACCCUGGUAGUCCACGCCCUAAACGAUGGAUACUCGACAUACGCGAUACACUGUGUGUGUCUGAGCGAAAGCAUUAAGUAUCCCACCUGGGAAGUACGACCGCAAGGUUGAAACUCAAAAAAAUUGACGGA